AUUGAACGCUGGCGGAAUGCUUUACACAUGCAAGUCGAACGGCAGCACGGGGGCAACCCUGGUGGCGAGUGGCGAACGGGUGAGUAAUACAUCGGAACGUGCCCAGUCGUGGGGGAUAACGCAGCGAAAGCUGUGCUAAUACCGCAUACGAUCUAUGGAUGAAAGCGGGGGACCGUAAGGCCUCGCGCGAUUGGAGCGGCCGAUGGCAGAUUAGGUAGUUGGUGGGGUAAAGGCUCACCAAGCCGGCGAUCUGUAGCUGGUCUGAGAGGACGACCAGCCACACUGGGACUGAGACACGGCCCAGACUCCUACGGGAGGCAGCAGUGGGGAAUUUUGGACAAUGGGCGCAAGCCUGAUCCAGCCAUUCCGCGUGCAGGAUGAAGGCCCUCGGGUUGUAAACCGCUUUUGUACGGAACGAAAAGCCUUCUUCUAAUACAGGAGGGUCAUGACGGUACCGUAAGAAUAAGCACCGGCUAACUACGUGCCAGCCGCCGCCGUAA
rnacentral:rRNA from 1 species